AUUGAACGCUGGCGGCAUGCCUUACACAUGCAAGUCGAACGGUAACGCGGGGCAACCUGGCGACGAGUGGCGAACAGGUGAGUAAAGCAUCGGAACGUGCCCAGUAGUGGGGGAUAGCCCGGCGAAAGCCGGAUUAAUACCGCAUACGACCUAUGGGUGAAAGGGGGGGAUCGCAAGACCUCUCGCUAUUGGAGCGGCCGAUGUCAGAUUAGGUAGUUGGUGGGGUAAAGGCCUACCAAGCCGACGAUCUGUAGCUGGUCUGAGAGGACGACCAGCCACACUGGGACUGAGACACGGCCCAGACUCCUACGGGAGGCAGCAGUGGGGAAUUUUGGACAAUGGGCGCAAGCCUGAUCCAGCCAUGCCGCGUGCGGGAAGAAGGCCUUCGGGUUGUAAACCGCUUUUGUCAGGGAAGAAAUCCUUUGGGUUAAUACCUCGGGGGGAUGACGGUACCUGAAGAAUAAGCACCGGCUAACUACGUGCCAGCAGCCGCCGUAAAAC
rnacentral:rRNA from 1 species